AUGAAGACGGGCGUGAUCGUCUUGUCCGUCGUGGUAGCGGUUUUUGGGGUAGCAAGCGCUGUGCUGGGGUUCAUCGCCGAGGGCACCAAGCUCACGCCGAAUGACAUCAAGAUAUCCAGGAACGAGUGCGUCUACCCUGACAACCCGGCAUACGCACUGGGGCUAGUGGCGGCCCUCCUGCUGCUGGUGGCCCAGAUCACCGCCUCCGCCGUCGGCGGCUGCUGCGGCUGCUGCAAGCCUCGGGGCGCCGGCUUCUCCGGGUCCAAGAGCUCCAGGUCCAAGAAGAUCAUUGGCGUUGGCGCCCUCCUCUGCCUCGUCUCAUGGAUAGCGGCGUUGAUCGCGGAGUGGUUCUUCUUGCAAGGUGCGUUCGGGAAUGCCCCCAUGACGCGCAGAACUACACAGGGCCGGGGAUGUACCUACCUCAAGGACGGCGUCUUCAGGAUGGGGGCCAUUCUGAGCAUCGUCGCCACCGUGCUCGGGAUCAUAUCUUACAUCGUGCUUUACGUGGCCGCGGCGGCGGCGGGUGCUGGUACUACCGCUACCCUGGGGACCGUGGCGGGACCGUCGGCGGCGGGCGAGACCAAGCACGACGGCAUCGCGAUCGGCCAGCCUGCUGCCGCUCCACAACACUCAGAAGCUGUGUAG
rnacentral:rRNA from 1 species